rnacentral:rRNA from 1 species
GACGAACGCUGGCGGCGUGCUUAACACAUGCAAGUCGAACGCUGAAGACCUGGCUUUUGUUGGGUUGGAUGAGUGGCGAACGGGUGAGUAACACGUGAGUAACCUGCCCUCUUCUUUGGGAUAACGCCCGGAAACGGGUGCUAAUACUGGAUAUUCACUGAUCUUCGCAUGGGGGUUGGUGGAAAGGUUUGUUCUGGUGGGGGAUGGGCUCGCGGCCUAUCAGCUUGUUGGUGGGGUGAUGGCCUACCAAGGCUUUGACGGGUAGCCGGCCUGAGAGGGUGACCGGUCACAUUGGAACUGGGAUACGGCCCAGACUCCUACGGGAGGCAGCAGUGGGGAAUAUUGCACAAUGGGCGAAAGCCUGAUGCAGCGACGCCGCGUGAGGGAUGGAGGCCUGCGGGUUGUAAACCUCUUUCGCUAAUGGUCAAGCCGCAACUGUGGGUUGUGGUGAGGGUAGUGGGUAAAGAAGCGCCGGCUAACUACGUG